rnacentral:tRNA from 1 species
GCACUCGUGGCGGAACUGGCAGACGCGCUAGAUUCAGGUUCUAGUCGGGGUUUCUCGGUGGAGGUUCAAGUCCUCUCGGGUGCACCA